UCAUUUACCUGGCAGGGACAAUACCAUGAUCAAGAAGGUGGUUUGCCCAAAGUGAGGCCAAGCUAUUGCACUCAGGCUGCGCUGACCUUUGCGAAUUUCUUAAAUGCAGGAAUCUUGACUGCAUAAUUUCUGACAGUGGGGGACUGCAUUUGCGCUCACUGC